GAUGCGGUGGCCUAACGAUUAGCGUGUUGGACUCCGGAUCGAGCGGUCCGGGUUCGAGCCCUGGACUCUGGCUCACUGUGUUG